UGGCCGCGGCGGGCAGCGGCGUGGCGGCGGCGGAGGCGGGGGCGGGCCCGGCGGGGGCGGCGUUCAGCACCGCGAACAGCGGCCGAGUGAACGGGCUGAGCCACCCGCCCGGCGCCAUCGCCAUGAAGGACCACGACGCCAUCAAGCUCUUCGUGGGGCAGAUCCCGCGUAACCUGGAGGAGAAGGACCUCAAGCCGCUCUUCGAGGAGUUCGGGAAGAUCUACGAGCUCACGGUGCUCAAGGACAGCUUCACCGGCAUGCACAAAGGCUGUGCCUUUCUCACCUAUUGCGCCCGUGACUCGGCCCUGAAGGCGCAGAGCGCUCUGCAUGAGCAGAAGACACUGCCAGGGAUGAACCGCCCCAUCCAGGUGAAGCCGGCGGACAGCGAGGGACGAGGAGAAGACAGGAAGCUCUUUGUGGGCAUGCUGGGGAAGCAGCAGAGCGAGGAUGACGUCCGGCGCCUCUUCGAGCCCUUCGGGCAGAUCGAGGAAUGCACCAUCCUGCGUGGGCCCGAUGGGGCGAGCAAAGGUUGUGCCUUUGUGAAGUACAGCAGCCACGCCGAGGCUCAAGCUGCCAUCAGCAGCCUGCACGGCAGCCAGACCAUGCCGGGCGCCUCGUCCAGCCUGGUGGUGAAGUUUGCAGAUACAGACAAGGAGCGUACAAUGAGGCGCAUGCAGCAAAUGGCAGGACAAAUGGGCAUGUUCAACCCCAUGGCCAUCCAGUUUGGGGCCUACGGCGCCUACACACAGGCGAUCAUGCAGCAGCAGGCGGCCCUGAUGGCAGCGGCGCAGGGGACCUGCCUGAACCCCAUGGCCGCCAUUGCUGCUGCCCAGAUGCAGCAAAUGGCCGCCUUCAACGUCAGUGGGCUGGUGGCCACCCCCCUCACCCCCUCUUCAGGUACCAGCACCCCGCCUGGCAUCAGCACAGCGCCCGUGCCCAGCAUCGCCACACCUAUUGGUGUGAAUGGCUUCAGCCCGCUGCCGCCGCAGACCAACGGGCAGCCCACCUCUGAGACCAUCUACACCAACGGCAUCCACCCCUACCCAGCAUAUCCCACUGCCUACGCACCCAUCAGCCAAGCCUUCCCCCAGCAAGCGCCCAUCAUCCCGCAGCAGCAGCGAGAAGGUCCUGAGGGCUGUAACCUGUUUAUUUAUCACCUGCCCCAGGAGUUUGGGGACGCGGAGCUCACGCAGAUGUUCUUGCCUUUUGGCAAUGUCAUCUCUGCCAAAGUCUUUGUGGAUCGUGCCACCAACCAGAGCAAGUGCUUUGGUAAGUCACCGUGUGAGCGAAGCCCAGAGCAGCUGUGGCUGUCAGCGUGGGGCUGAAGGACCUCAACACGUGGGGACGGAAGGAUGUACCCUCCUGCUGUCACAGUCCUCAUGCUUGGUGGCCACAGAUCUCACCACUCCACUCUCCCUGCAUACCCGUGCCCUUUUGUGUCCCCACUGUCACAUCGCUGUCCGCACAGACCUGCUCACCUUGAUGGCCCCUCAGACCUUGUGCCUCUGGGAGCCCAGUCACCUCAGGUUCCCUGCAGACCCCAUGUAGGCCUUGUCACUGCAGUGUCCCCACCAAUCCCAUCACCCCAGCAUCCCUCUAGAUUUUUUCACCCCAGAGUCCCCACAGGCCCCUUCACCUCAGUGUCCCCACAGACAUCAGUGUCCCUGAAGGUGCCAUCAUCCAGUGCCAUGCAUUGUAGGGUGGUGCCCUACAGCCCCAUGUUCCAGAGGCCAUUCCUGGGCUGAGUGAGCACCCUUGGGGAACUUGGGGCCCGUGGUGAAGUUAUGCCACGACUGUGUUGAAGUCAAGCAGCUUGGUGUGGCAUUGACAGUGACAAACUGUCCCCGUGUGUCACCCCGUCCCUCACCCCCAGGUUUUGUCAGCUUUGACAACCCAUCCAGUGCACAGGCGGCCAUCCAGGCCAUGAACGGCUUCCAGAUCGGCAUGAAGCGCCUCAAAGUCCAGCUAAAGCGGCCAAAAGAUGCCAACAGACCCUACUGACCCCUGGCACCCUGGCCCCGCAGAGAGGUCGGGCGUCCCGCGGUGUCUGCCAACUUCCCCCUUCCCCAAGUGCAGUAUCCAAACCCGUAACUCUCUUUCUUUGCAACAUAUCCCGGAGGAGGAGGAGGAGGAAGGAGAGGAGGAAAAGCUGAUGAUGAAGAAGAAGAAAAAAGAAAAAAAGAAAAAACAAAAAAACCCACAAAAAAGUGAAGAAAGGAGCCGUUCUGGUCGUAGCUUUUCUAUUUCUUUUUUGAUUACUUUUUUUCCAACCGGUCUUGUUUGUUUCUUAACGGGAACGAGAGAGCGAGGCGGAAGGCAGGAAGGAGGAGAGUGAUGCGGCGUUGGGGCUGAGAUUUGCUGCCGGGAGAGGACUGAGGCCCGGGCAGCCGGGAUGUGAGCUACCUUUUAUAUAAGCACUCAUUUGCUGCUACAAAUUUCCCAAGAGGAACGAGGAAAAGAGGCUCCGAAUGGAUUAUAAACCAAAGCCAGCGGGAUGAGACUGACCUCGGGCGAUUCACCUGGAGGAUGAGGAUGCCUGUUUGGAAAGGGAAAUCUUGGGGGUUUCUUUUGGUUUGUUUUGUUGUUGUUGUUUUUUUCCACGUCUGGCUGGGAAAAAGAGGGAAGAAAAAGGAUAAGAGGAUGUUGGACUUAUAGAAGAUAUAUAUAAAUAAGUAUAUAUAUAUAUAUAUCCCAUGGAGCAGGGGAGCGGAACAUGCGCUUCCCCCUGCUUGUCACUGGCACAGGGACAUAGGAUUACUUGUUUCAGAGUCAUAUCAUUCCUUAGAGUUUAGGGACCAAAGGACUAUUGCUUUUUUAAAUAUAUAUAUAAAUAAAUUAAUUUAAAACACACACACACACACACAGACACACACAAAAAAAAAAAACUUAAAAAAAAAAAAAACAGGAAGAAAAAAACAAAAAACAUUGUAAGAAACACCUCGGGCGCAUGAGCUGCGAGCGGCGCCGGGAGGAGCACGGCUGAAGGGCUCAGUGUGGGGGGGCAGUUUGUGGCCAAGCGCUGGGGGGGGACGCAGAGGGGAUUCUGGGGGGUGAACGUGGCCAAAAGAGCCCUCGGUCGCCUGCGGGAGACGGCGAAGCGAUUUGCUUCUUUGGCUCUUUUGUGAAUUCUUUUAUUUUGUUCCGUUCGGUUCGGUUCGGUUUUGGUUUUUUUUUCAGCCAAAAAAAAAAAAACAAAAACGAUUAAAUAAAAAAUGUGAGGUUUCGGCAGAAACAAAGCGAAGCGAAAUAAAAUUAUUUUGUCAAAAUGGUCA